CACCAUGGACGUCCUGGUACUACAAGGAUCUACCAUGCUUAAGUUCCUGAAAUUAGUCUGCACAUGUGUGCAGGCUUCUGCUAAUUACUGUAGCUGUAAAUGAACCAACAAGUGUAGUGGCAGUAUGCUGUAGCAGGAAAUGUGGUUUAUAUCUUAACACAGAAACAACAUUUUUCAUCGUGGUAUCAUGAUUAUUGUAAGACCUUCCAUGACUCAAUAAAAAGCUCACAGAGAACAGAACCAGGGGCCAGGGGUGGGAGCUGAAGAAGGGCAUCUUCAGAACUGAGGGGAGAAGCAGCUUUUUCACAGAAAGGAUGGUGAACCAUUGGAACAGGCUGCCGUACAAUGUUGAUCAGAUCCCUCAAGAAUAGACUGGAUGUUGUCAUGAACAAUAUUGUAUAACCCUCUGUGACCACAAUAAGACCUUUAGCUAGCCGUCUGGAGGAAGGGCAGCCCGUCUCACCACGGAUUCCCAGAGGUUUAAUUUCCCCUACUAACCUGGUUAAGGGUUUUUGUUUUUCUUCUCCUGAGUGCUAAUGGACCACACUGGCACAAAAGCGAGCAAGCACAGGCCUUUUGUCAUUCUUGAAUUUCUUAUGUUCUUAUGUACGUUUAGUGAAAGGGCCACAACCACAGUUUAAUAAACAGACGCCAAGUGGCGUUGAAAAGUAAAA